rnacentral:lncRNA from 1 species
UGUUCACCACCACCAGUGCAAACUCGUGGCUCUUGUCAAUCUUGUGCUUCGUCCUCACAAACAUCUCAAUCAUCUUCUGUGAGAUGUUCAGCGCGUUGGUCUUGGAGCCAUUGAACGACUCCAGCUUGGGCAGAGCCAUCUCCUCAGCCAGGUCCAGGCAGAUGAUCACCUUCUCAGGGCAAUUCACCCGCGGUGUCUUCACCUGCACCUCGGGGGGGGGAUGUGCGGGGCCGGGCCAGGCGGUGCCAUCGGGGGCAGCGGUUCCCUGCGGGCUGUCCUCGCUGCUGGCCGCCUCCCCCUCCCCCUCGCUGCGGUUCCCCACGCUGCUCUGAGCGCUCAAUGCCCGAUCCUCGGCGCCCUCAGGGUUGGAGCGGGUGCGCGGCCGCUGCUCCGGAGCCUUUUCCUCCUCCUCCUCAGCAGCACUGCCCGGCCCCGACGUGUCCAUCCCGCAGCUGCGCUCCAUGGCACCGCUCUGGGGGGGCCCCCGCCGCGC